rnacentral:rRNA from 1 species
CCUACGGGUGGCUGCAGUGAGGAAUAUUGGUCAAUGGUCGUAAGCCUGAACCAGCCAAGUAGCGUGCAGGAUGACGGCCCUGUGGGUUGUAAACUGCUUUUAUCCGGGGAUAAAAUGCGUCACUUGUGCUCUUUUGUAGGUACCUCAUGAAUAAGGACCGGCUAAUUCCGUGCCAGCAGCCGCGGUAAUACGGAAGGUCCGGGCGUUAUCCGGAUUUAUUGGGGUUAAAGGGGGCGUAGGCCGCCUGUUAAGCGUGCCGUUAAAUGCCGUGGCUCAACCCUGGCACUGCGGCGCGAACUGGCGGGCUGGAGUGGGCGGAACGUAUGCGGAAUUCGCGGUGUAGCGGUGAAAUGCUUAGAUAUCGCGCAGAACCCCGAUUGCGAAGGCAGCAUACGGCAGCGAGACUGACGCUGAAGCUCGAAGGCGUGGGUAUCGAACAGGAUUAGAUACCCCAGUAGUC